rnacentral:tRNA from 1 species
GCCGAAGUGGUGGAAUUGGUAGACACGCUGGACUCAAAAUCCAGUGCCUUCAAAAGCGUGCGGGUUCGAUUCCCGCCUUCGGUA